AUUGUACGCUGGCGGCAGGCUUAACACAUGCAAGUCGAGCGGGGAAAGGUAGCUUGCUACCUGACCUAGCGGCGGACGGGUGAGUAAUGCUUAGGAAUCUGCCUAUUAGUGGGGGACAACAUUCCGAAAGGAAUGCUAAUACCGCAUACGCCCUACGGGGGAAAGCAGGGGAUCUUCGGACCUUGCGCUAAUAGAUGAGCCUAAGUCAGAUUAGCUAGUUGGUGGGGUAAAGGCCUACCAAGGCGACGAUCUGUGGCGGGUCUGAGAGGAUGAUCCGCCACACUGGGACUGAGACACGGCCCAGACUCCUACGGGAGGCAGCAGUGGGGAAUAUUGGACAAUGGGCGAAAGCCUGAUCCAGCCAUGCCGCGUGUGUGAAGAAGGCCUUUUGGUUGUAAAGCACUUUAAGCGAGGAGGAGGCUACUUGGAUUAAUACUCUAGGAUAGUGGACGUUACUCGCAGAAUAAGCACCGGCUAACUCUGUGCCAGCCGCCGCGGUAAGAC
rnacentral:rRNA from 1 species